UUUUCUGCCACCGAAUACAUUAGCAUGGGAUAAUGGAAUAGGACCCUGUCCUCCUAUUUUCAGUUGGUUUUGGCAGCGCGAGGACUAGGGUAAUGAUUAAUAGGGAUAGUUGGGGGCAUUAAUAUUUAAUUGUCAGAGGUGAAAUUCUUGGAUUUAUGAAAGAUUAACUUCUGCGAAAGCAUCUGCCAAGGAUGUUUUCAUUAAUCAAGAACGAAAGUUAGGGGAUCGAAGACGAUCAGAUACCGUCGUAGUCUUAACCAUAAACGAUGCCGACCAGCGAUUAGGAGACGUUGAAUACAAAACACCACCAUCGGUGCGGUCGUCCUUGGCGUCGGUCUUUCGGGGCCGGCGCGGGGACGGCUUAGCCCGGUGGCACCGGUGAAUGACUCCCCUAG
rnacentral:rRNA from 1 species